GGGUGCGAUCAUACAAGCAAUAAGCCAAUCAUGUAUUAGAUCCCAUCAGAAUUCCGAAGUUUUGCUUGAGUGAGAGUAGUAAUAGGAUGGGUGACCUCCUAGAAAGCUCUCGCAUUACAGUCC
rnacentral:rRNA from 1 species